rnacentral:rRNA from 1 species
GACGAAUGCUGGCGGCGUGCUUAACACAUGCAAGUCGAACGGAAAGGCCCUGCUUGCAGGGUACUCGAGUGGCGAACGGGUGAGUAACACGUGGGUGAUCUGCCCUGCACUUCGGGAUAAGCCUGGGAAACUGGGUCUAAUACCGGAUAGGAGCCAUUUUUAGUGUGAUGGUUGGAAAGUUUUUUCGGUGUAGGAUGAGCUCGCGGCCUAUCAGCUUGUUGGUGGGGUAAUGGCCUACCAAGGCGGCGACGGGUAGCCGGCCUGAGAGGGUGGACGGCCACAUUGGGACUGAGAUACGGCCCAGACUCCUACGGGAGGCAGCAGUGGGGAAUAUUGAACAAUGGGCGCAAGCCUGAUGCAGCGACGCCGCGUGGGGGAUGACGGCCUUCGGGUUGUAAACUCCUUUCGCUAGGGACGAAGCUUUUGUGACGGUACCUAGAUAAGAAGCACCGGCUAACUACGUG